UGGGUUGUGGCUCAGUGGUAGAGCACUUGCCUCACAUGUAUGAAACACUGGGUUCAAUCCUCAGCACCACAU
rfam:Ictidomys tridecemlineatus contig010832, whole genome shotgun sequence.